rnacentral:rRNA from 1 species
CAGACGGGUGAGUAACGCGUGGGAACAUACCCUUUCCUGCGGAAUAGCUCCGGGAAACUGGAAUUAAUACCGCAUACGCCCUACGGGGGAAAGAUUUAUCGGGGAAGGAUUGGCCCGCGUUGGAUUAGCUAGUUGGUGGGGUAAAGGCCUACCAAGGCGACGAUCCAUAGCUGGUCUGAGAGGAUGAUCAGCCACAUUGGGACUGAGACACGGCCCAAACUCCUACGGGAGGCAGCAGUGGGGAAUAUUGGACAAUGGGCGCAAGCCUGAUCCAGCCAUGCCGCGUGAGUGAUGAAGGCCUUAGGGUUGUAAAGCUCUUUCACCGGAGAAGAUAAUGACGGUAUCCGGAGAAGAAGCCCCGGCUAACUUCGUGCCAGCAGCCGCGGUAAUACGAAGGGGGCUAGCGUUGUUCGGAAUUACUGGGCGUAAAGCGCACGUAGGCGGAUAUUUAAGUCAGGGGUGAAAUCCCAGAGCUCAACUCUGGAACUGCCUUUGAUACUGGGUAUCUGGAGUAUGGAAGAGGUAAGUGGAAUUCCGAGUGUAGAGGUGAAAUUCGUAGAUAUUCGGAGGAACACCAGUGGCGAAGGCGGCUUACUGGUCCAUUACUGACGCUAAGGUGCGAAAGCGUGGGGAGCAAACCGGAUUAGAUACCCCGGUAGUCCACGCCGUAAACGAUGAAUGUUAGCCGUCGGGCAGUAAACUGUUCGGUGGCGCACCUAAGGC